rnacentral:rRNA from 1 species
CCUACGGGAGGCUGCAGUGGGGAAUAUUGCACAAUGGGGGAAACCCUGAUGCAGCGACGCCGCGUGAGUGAAGAAGUAUUUCUGUAUGUAAAGCUCUAUCAGCAGGGGAGAAAAUGACGGUACCUGACUAAGAAUCCCCGGCUAACUACGUUCCAGCAGCCGCGGUAAUACGUAGGGAGCAAGCGUUAUCCGGAUUUACUGGGUGUAAAGGGGGCGUAGACGGCAAAGCAAGUCUGAAGUGAAAGCCCGCGGCCCAACCGCGGGACUGCUUUGGAAACUGCCCGGCUAGAGUGCUGGAGAGGUAAGCGGAAUUCGUAGUGUAGCGGUGAAAUGCGUAGAUAUCAGGAGGAACACCAGUGGCGAAGGCAGCUUACUGGACAGUAACUGACGUUGAGGCUCGAAAGCGUGGGGAGCAAACAGGAUUAGAUACCCUAGUAGUC